CCCAUCCUCCUCUCAAACGUUCUUCCUAGUCCCUAAAAAAAACAUAACUCCAAAUCCUAACCCUUCCCCGGACCUUGAUUUAGAAAACCUCAGUAUAAUAUUCCAAAUUCUUGUGUGUUCUGUAUCUCCUUCCUCCUCCUCACCCUGCUCCCAAAACCCUUCGAGAAAAGCAUCAUCGUUGUUGUAUUUAUAGUUGAUCUAUACUCGGAGGCGCUUGUUCCAACAACCUCUCCUUCUCUGCGGCUGCUGUUCUUGGCUGAAUUCUGGUUAGGGGAAAUACAGGAGCCAACCGAUAAAAGUGUUUGUUGAAAGAGGUGAGCAAGAUCCUAUUCCUAGCCUCUAUUGUUGCGAUCUCUACGCGUUUCUAAGGAAGGACUCCUUCAUAUAACCUAUGGGAAAAGAUGUUAAAGCAACUCCUGUGUUUGAGUUAUCUUCAUUUACCGUAACAAAUGAUGUAUUCAAUAAUCUUCAGGAUGAAAACGGGUGUGCGUGUAUUGAACUUUAUGGUCACAUCAAAUUUAUUGAUGAUAAUUCUGAUGAGUACAUUCUGUUUGAUUGUGAUCCUAGUGAUCCAGCGAUUGUUUAUUUAUCGGACAAUAAUUCGGUACUCCUCAGAGAAUCUAUAUUUAACCCGCCUUAUUGGUCUUAUUGGAUGCAUAGAUUCUCUUUGAUAAUUUAUCUAAAAGAUAAGCGUAGAGAUAUUGUAGUUGUGGAUAGUACCAAAGACUUUGAUUUCGCCUUUAUGGAUGUUUACGAUGUAAACGAAGGUUGUUGGAAGAUAGAAACCCCCAUGUGUGGACUUAUUUCAGUGCAUUACAGAAUUCUCCCAUACGCAGUCUAUGCUCAUGUGGAUGUUGAAGUUGUUGACUAUAAUGGUAGUAGAAGAAGUCAUACAAAUGAAGAUUGUGAUAAGCCUUUGAAGAGUGAAGACCUGUGUCAGGCUGUUGUGACCGGUAAAAUUUCUUCUACUUGUAAGACACAGGAUAAGAGGUGUAUUUCGCGAGUGAUAUUUGAUGAGAGUUGUUAUGAUCCUGCAAAUUUGACUCCUACCGACCUGCUUUGGAUCUGUUGGUUGGCCGUUCCAGCUUAUUCUCGGAAGCUUAGAAUUGAAGUAGACUUAGAAGUUGACGGCGAAAAGAUAGGGAGUGGUCACGUUUUGGAUUUCGACGUCAAAGACAUCUGUGUGGAAACUGAAAAGGCAAUUAAGGAACAAAAUUGGUCCAUCAUAGUGAGGGUGGACUGGAAGCAUGCAUAUUCUUUCAUUACCAAAGAAUAUUUUAAUCGGAUUGACCCUAAGCUUUUUGUUGAAGGAGCAUCUGCUACAGAAAGUGAAGGUCAUUCAACGUUUUCAAAAGUUUCAAAUAGAGAAUUACAUCUAGAGGUCUUUCCUGAUAUAUACGACCCUAGCUCAGUGAGCCCUACAGAUAUGAGCACUAAGGGGAUGGUACGUGAUCCUAUACCUUUGUUCUUUCCAUACAACCACAGUCUUGUGGAGAUUUUCUCAGUUUCUAUUACUCCUCCUCGCGAAAAAUGUUGGAAACUCUGUGGAGAAGUCGAGUGUACUGAUACAUUUGAGACGUAUAAUAUCUUUUGCAAAGAAGGGGAAGAAUAUGUUGAGGUGAGUUACUCUAAAAAUACCUUGCCAUUACAGGAGCCUUGUAGUUGUUAUGUGGGUGGAAAUUUAUGUUUAGAUAUUCUCCUAAGAAAUAGUCAAGGCUUUGAAAUCAGCAAUGGUUACGUGUCAUGGUAUGAAUUUCAAGUUACUAAUUGGUACGACCAACGUAUAUGUUCAAUAGUUCGUGGCAAAUACGGUUUUGCAGCGGUUCAUUAUACUAUAUUUUCGAUGGCAGCACAAGCUGGAGUUACGAUUGUUUUAAAUUCCAACGAUGGUUGUUCUCGUAUGAUUCGUGGGAACAUCUUUGGUCGUUAUAGUGGUUAUAGAUAUCACACUUACUACGAGAAGAAAUAUUUUCAAAGUAAGUUGUAUGAAAACUGUGUGGAGGUAAAUAAUGCAGAGAAAUUACCAUUGUCAAAAUCUGUUGUUGCAGUGCCGGUGAAUCACUCGCUUAUUCUUGAAGCAUAUAUUCAAGUUGGUAAGCUUGGCAAGAAUUUUCAAGAUGAAUAUUUCAAGGGUCAGGUUACAUUUAAGCCGGUUUUGACUGAACCUCCUGAGGUUCAGUCUAGCCAUCAGACAAUUUAUGGAGAAGACUUCAGUUUAUCAGUUUUAGUUAAUUGGGGGUAAAAAAAAUCUAUAUCUCUAAAUAAGCAAUACAAAUAUUUUGGUAAAAUAUUACAGAGCAUAUCAAAUUAUCAAUUACCUAGUGUGGCCGCUUCUCCCCUCUGUCCCUCUUUUUUCUCUCUUUUUAGGGUAUUUAAAAAUUAGGGUUUUUUAGGACGGAAAUAGCCAAUUUUCUUUGGAAAUUUGGUUAUUUUCCCCUCUUCUCUUUCAUUCUGUUGUGUUUUUGCGUUAGAUAUCAAUAAAACUACAUAGUUUCAGUGUAGUAAGUACCCCUAUGGUGGGUUUGAUUGUUUCGGUGUAGUAAGUACCCCUAUGGUGGGUUUGUUUUUAGUUAAGUUUUGUGUGUUUAGUUUAGUUCAGGUUGUUUAUUUGGUAAAGCCUUAUGCGGGAUUGAAGAGGAUGUCAAUCUUUCGACUACAAUCAGACGAAUCAGACGGAAAUCAUAUUAGUCACAGCCACAACAGAUCUAUAGACCCCCUCGUCAAUGAAGACGGUAAAUCACAUUGAUAUAAAAAAGGGUAUACAGAAUGUUUGAUAUACUACGAUCGUAGUUAUGGUGAAAAGAAGUUUUUAUUUGAUUCGAUUGCUAUGUAUUUGUUAGAUUUAAAUCUUUAUGUAGAUGCCGUAUGACUUUUUAUCAAUGAAUUAAUUUGUUUAUAAAAAAAAAGUUGAUUGAGGGUAACAAGUUAGUCUUCUUUUUGUUGCAUUGUCAUUAUUCACACAUAUUUCGUAUUCUUUAUGACUUGAUCUUUACCAUUUAUUUUGUACAUCUUUGAAAAAAUUUAACUGUUUAGACAAAUAUCUUCAUCACGUGCCGAAGGAUAUGUAUAUUGAUGUUGCAGAUAUUCACAUAAUUAAUUGAUGAUAUUCUUUUUUUUAUUUUCCAUUUUGAAAUCCCAAACCUUUAAAAUGCAUGAACUCAAAACACUAUGCUUAACAAUAGUGUAUUGAGUCACAUUUAGGUGAAAUUCACUAUUCAUAAGGAAAGUUUUUAUUUUCCUUCCCUUUAAAAGCUCUAUCAGCCUUGCUCAAUCAACCAAGGUUCGAUUCUUGGUCCUUGCAUAUUUCCAAAAUAUUUUGCUAUCCCUUUUCUCCUUUCCUUUCUUUCUUCUGAUCCACCUCCUGGAUCGUUUUCAAUUUCUAACCUAAGCUCCUCUCUCCUCUCACCUCCGCCCCCUCUCCUCAAAUCAAACUCCACAACGAGCCACCAAAUUCCGAUCUUCCCACCACCAUUCAUGUGCCGUUCGUCACAGACUUAACCAGGUGGUGGCGGUGCUGCGUUCGAGCUGAAUCGUUUCUUCGGCGGCGGAUUUUUUUUCCUGUUGGAACACCAAGACGCAACUCAAUUUCAGUUGGAGUUGAAGCUUUGAUUUUUUGGUUGGAGUUGAAGCUUUGGUAAUUCUACAGGAACUCAAAUGGCCAUUUGUAUCAGUGUUUAGAGUUUGUCUUGCCUUUAAGAAGGAUUAGGGGAAGACGACGUUGACUGAACGAGUUCUGUUUU